GACGAACGCUGGCGGCGUGCUUAACACAUGCAAGUCGAACGGAAAGGCCCUGCUUUUGUGGGGUGCUCGAGUGGCGAACGGGUGAGUAACACGUGAGUAACCUGCCCUUGACUUUGGGAUAACUUCGGGAAACUGGGGCUAAUACCGGAUAGGAGCUCCUGCUGCAUGGUGGGGGUUGGAAAGUUUCGGCGGUUGGGGAUGGACUCGCGGCUUAUCAGCUUGUUGGUGGGGUAGUGGCUUACCAAGGCUUUGACGGGUAGCCGGCCUGAGAGGGUGACCGGCCACAUUGGGACUGAGAUACGGCCCAGACCCCUACGGGAGGCAGCAGUGGGGAAUAUUGCACAAUGGGCGGAAGCCUGAUGCAGCAACGCCGCGUGCGGGAUGACGGCCUUCGGGUUGUAAACCGCUUUCGCCUGUGACGAAGCGUGAGUGACGGUAAUGGGUAAAGAAGCACCGGCUAACUACGUG
rnacentral:rRNA from 1 species